rnacentral:rRNA from 1 species
CCUACGGGGGGCAGCAGUGAGGAAUAUUGGUCAAUGGACGCAAGUCUGAACCAGCCAUGCCGCGUGCAGGAAGACGGCUCUAUGAGUUGUAAACUGCUUUUGUACGAGGGUAAACGCAGAUACGUGUAUCUGUCUGCAAGUAUCGUACGAAUAAGGAUCGGCUAACUCCGUGACAGCAGCCGCGGUAAUACGGAGGAUUCAAGCGUUAUCCGGAUUUAUUGGGUUUAAAGGGUGCGUAGGCGGUCGGAUAAGUUAGAGGUGAAAGCCCGAGGCUCAACUUCGGAAUUGCCUCUGAUACUGUUCGGCUAGAGAGUAGGAGCGGUAGGCGGAAUGUAUGGUGUAGCGGUGAAAUGCUUAGAGAUCAUACAGAACACCGAUUGCGAAGGCAGCUUACCGGGCUACUUCUGACGUUGAGGCACGAAAGCGUGGGGAGCAAACAGGAUUAGAUACCCGGGUAGUC